rnacentral:rRNA from 1 species
AGUUUGAUCAUGGCUCAGGAUGAACGCUAGCGGCAGGCCUAACACAUGCAAGUCGAGGGGGUAGAGUUCUUCGGGACUUGAGACCGGCGCACGGGUGCGUAACGCGUAUGCAAUCUACCUUAUACAGGGGAAUAGCCCAGAGAAAUUUGGAUUAAUGCCCCAUAGUGUUAUCGAAUCGCAUGGUUUGAUAACUAAAGUUCCAACGGUAUAAGAUGAGCAUGCGUCCCAUUAGUUAGUUGGUAAGGUAACGGCUUACCAAGACAAUGAUGGGUAGGGGUCCUGAGAGGGAGAUCCCCCACACUGGUACUGAGACACGGACCAGACUCCUACGGGAGGCAGCAGUGAGGAAUAUUGGUCAAUGGGCGCAAGCCUGAACCAGCCAUGCCGCGUGCAGGAAGACGGUCCUAUGGAUUGUAAACUGCUUUUAUACAGGAAGAAACCCUCCCACGUGUGGGAGCUUGACGGUACUGUAGGAAUAAGGAUCGGCUAACUCCGUG